GAGAGUUUGCCUCAAGAAAGCGCUGGGCUUCUGGCUGUCACUAAAUACUCAAUCAAGUUUGAAAUAUAAGGAUAACAAUUUUAUAUAUAUAAACUCCUCUCCUUUGGAGCAAUUACAUCAAUAUACAAGCCUUAAAAUCCAAAGAACACCAAAAUACUUGAUAAGGUGUUAUAAAAAACUUAUAUAUCCUUAUGAGGAAUUUUUCCCGAAGUUCAACAGCUCAUAACUUACGAUCUAACCGUCUAAACAACUCCAAAUUUUACAUGGAGUACUGAUAUAUCUUUAACAACUACCACACCAAAAUUCAACUGUAAAUUCGUCUUGGAUCUUGUGAUAUCUUGAAAACCCUAACUGUAGCUUCAAACCCUAGCUUUUUUACACCCGUGUACAACUUCCUUCAUAUCUCACAAACUAAUUAUUAAAAUACUAUGAAACUUUGAUCUAAAGCUUUUUAACCCAAUUACACACACUUGUGGAAAUUUUGAGCCAAAAAUUCGUCCAGAAACUCAAGAUAUGGCUUCACCCAUAACUAGCAACAAAACGAUAUACUUACUGCCUUCAAAUUACAAGUGCUGUCUUCAACGCCUCAUAACUCCUUCACCCAAUCUUAGAAUUCACUAUACAGUAAAUAGAAUGUGUAGCCGAAAAAAUGCUCCCUCCAAAUCCAGUCGCCGAUCUUCCGUUGCUCUCCAUAUUCGUAUGUGAUGCCCAAAAGAAGUGAUAGUAGGUACGAAAUUGACACCUUAUCUUUGAACAUUCAUAUCUUUUCCAUAAAAACUCGAAAUCACACAAAAUCUUCACCCAAAUUAUAUCCAAAACCCUAAACCUUCUGACCCUAGCCUCAAAAGCUCGAAUGGCCUCGAAAGAGGAACCCUAAUUCCUAAUAUGGCCUCGGGCAGCCU
rnacentral:lncRNA from 1 species